UGCAAUGAUGGUGUAAUUUGCGUCUUACCUGGUAUUUGGCGACAGUUGCCUACUGUCACAAAGCUAAUACUGUGGGGUGACGACACUUCGAGUCUGAGCG
rnacentral:snoRNA from 1 species